rnacentral:rRNA from 1 species
GUUUAGGGAAGAAUUGAUUUGUUGUUAGUAACUUAUACACAGUAGAGACUGUACCUAACCAGAAAGCCACGGCUAACUACGUGCCAGCAGCCGCGGUAAUACGUAGGUGGCAAGCGUUGUCCGGAAUUAUUGGGCGUAAAGCGCGGCGCAGGUGGUUUAAUAAGUCUGAUGUGAAAGCCCACGGCCUCAACCGUGGAGGGUCAUUGGAAACUGUUAAACUUGAGUGCAGGAGAGAAAAGUGGAAUUCCUAGUGUAGCGGUGAAAUGCGUAGAGAUUAGGAGGAACACCAGUGGCGAAGGCGGCUUUUUGGCCUGUAACUGACACUGAGGCGCGAAAGCGUGGGGAGCAAACAGGAUUAGAUACCCCGGGUAGUCCACGCCGUAAACGAUGAGUGCUAAGUGUUGGUCUCAUAAGAGAUCAGUGCUGCAGCUAACGCAUUAAGCACUCCGCCCUGGGGAGUACGACCGCAAAGGUUGAAACCUCAAAGGAAUUGACGGGGCACCCGCACAAGCGGUGGAGCAUGUGGUUUAAUUCGAAGCAACGCGAAGAACCUUACCAAAUCUUGACAUANCUGUGAGGACANCAAGAGAUUGUGUUGUUCUGACCUUUGGUUAGACACAGAUACAGGUGGUGCAUGGUUGUCGUCAGCUCGUGUCGUGAGAUGUUGGGUUAAGUCCCGCAACGAGCGCAACCACUUAUAUCUAGUUGCCAGCAAGUAAGAUGGGGACUCUAGAUAGACUGCCCAGUGAUAAANCUGGAGGAAGGAUGGGGAUGACGUCAAAUCAUCAUGCCCAAUUAUAGGCUUU